GGGGUUGUAGCUCAGUGGUAGAGUGCUUGCUUUGCACACGAGAGGCAUUGGGUUCAAUCCUCAGCAAUACAU
rnacentral:tRNA from 1 species